rnacentral:rRNA from 1 species
GCAGUCGAGGGGUAUUGGUUUUCGGACCAAGAGACCGGCGCACGGGUGCGUAACGCGUAUGCAAUCUACCUUUCACAGAGGGAUAGCCCAGAGAAAUUUGGAUUAAUACCUCAUAGUAUGCAGAGUUGGCAUCAACACUGCAUUAAAGUCACAACGGUGAAAGAUGAGCAUGCGUCCCAUUAGCUAGUUGGUAAGGUAACGGCUUACCAAGGCUACGAUGGGUAGGGGUCCUGAGAGGGAGAUCCCCCACACUGGUACUGAGACACGGACCAGACUCCUACGGGAGGCAGCAGUGAGGAAUAUUGGUCAAUGGGCGCAAGCCUGAACCAGCCAUGCCGCGUGCAGGAUGACGGUCCUAUGGAUUGUAAACUGCUUUUGUACAGGAAGAAACAACAUUACGUGUAAUGUCUUGACGGUACUGUAAGAAUAAGGAUCGGCUAACUCCGUGCCAGCAGCCGCGGUAAUACGGAGGAUCCAAGCGUUAUCCGGAAUCAUUGGGUUUAAAGGGUCCGUAGGCGGCUUAGUAAGUCAGUGGUGAAAGCCCAUCGCUCAACGGUGGAACGGCCAUUGAUACUGCUAGACUUGAAUUAUUAGGAAGUAACUAGAAUAUGUAGUGUAGCGGUGAAAUGCUUAGAGAUUACAUGGAAUACCAAUUGCGAAGGCAGGUUACUACUAAUGGAUUGACGCUGAUGGACGAAAGCGUGGGUAGCGAACAGGAUUAGAUACCCUGGUAGUCCACGCCGUANACGAUGGAUACUAGCUGUUGGGAGCGAUCUCAGUGGCUAAGCGAAAGUGAUAAGUAUCCCACCUGGGGAGUACGUUCGCAAGAAUGAAACUCAAAGGAAUUGACGGGGGGC